AUUGAACGCUGGCGGCAGGCCUAACACAUGCAAGUCGAGCGGACGAAGGGAGCUUGCUCCUGGAUUCAGCGGCGGACGGGUGAGUAAUGCCUAGGAAUCUGCCUGGUAGUGGGGGAUAACGUCCGGAAACGGGCGCUAAUACCGCAUACGUCCUGAGGGAGAAAGUGGGGGAUCUUCGGACCUCACGCUAUCAGAUGAGCCUAGGUCGGAUUAGCUAGUUGGUGGGGUAAAGGCCUACCAAGGCGACGAUCCGUAACUGAUCUGAGAGGAUGAUCAGUCACACUGGAACUGAGACACGGUCCAGACUCCUACGGGAGGCAGCAGUGGGGAAUAUUGGACAAUGGGCGAAAGCCUGAUCCAGCCAUGCCGCGUGUGUGAAGAAGGUCUUCGGAUUGUAAAGCACUUUAAGUUGGGAGGAAGGGCAGUAAGUUAAUACCUUGCUGUUUUGACGUUACCAACAGAAUAAGCACCGGCUAACUUCGUG
rnacentral:rRNA from 1 species